rnacentral:tRNA from 1 species
AGGAUUAUAGUUUAAAAAAAACAUUUGAUUUGCAUUCAAAAAUUAUUGUUUAUAUUAUACAAUUUAUCUUA